rnacentral:rRNA from 1 species
GACGAACGCUGGCGGCGUGCCUAAUACAUGCAAGUCGAACGCAGUGGGGACGGGUGAGUAACACGUGGGUAACCUCCCAUCAGAGGGGAUAACACUUGGAAACAGGUGCUAAACCGAUACUGAUGGAUGGACCCGCGGUGCAUUAGCUAGUUGGUGAGGUAACGGCUCAACAAGGCCACGAUGCAUAGCCGACCGAGAAGGUGGAUCGGCAACAUGGGGACUGAGACACGGCCCAGACUCCGACGGGAGGCAGAAGUAGGGAAUCUUCGGCAAGGGACGAAAGUCGGACCGAGCAACGCCGCGUGAGUGAAGAAGGUUUGCGGAUCGUAAAACUCUGUUGUUAGAGAAGCGGUAUCUAACCAGAAAGCCACGGCUAACUACGUGCCAGCAGCCGCGGUAAUUC